rnacentral:rRNA from 1 species
GACGAACGCUGGCGGCGCGCUUAACACAUGCAAGUCGAGCGAUGAAACUUUAACAGAACCCUUCGGGGCGAAGAUAAAGUGGAUUAGCGGCGGACGGGUGAGUAACACGUGAGUAACCUGCCUUAUACAUUGGGAUAGCCUCGGGAAACCGGGAUUCAUGACAAAUAAAAUCAUAAUGACACAUGUCAUAACGAUCAAAACUCCGGUGGUCUAAGAUGGACUUGCGUCCCAUUAGCUAGUUGGUAGAGUAAAAGCCUACCAAGGCGCCGAUGGGUAGCCGGCCUGGGAGGGUGAACGGCCACAUUGGAACUGAGAAACGGUCCAAACUCCUACGGGAGGCAGCAGUGGGGAAUAUUGCACAAUGGAGGGGACUCUGAUGCAGCGACGCCGCGUGAACGAAGAAGGCUUUCGAGUCGUAAAGUUCUUUUAUAUGGGAAGAUAAUGACGGUACCAUAAGAAAAAGCCCCGGCUAACUACGUG